CAGGAACGCUGGCGGCAGGCUUAACACAUGCAAGUCGAGCGCCCCGCAAGGGGAGCGGCAGACGGGUGAGUAACGCGUGGGAAUCUACCCAUCUCUACGGAAUAACGCAUGGAAACGUGUGCUAAUACCGUAUACGUCCUUCGGGAGAAAGAUUUAUCGGAGAUGGAUGAGCCCGCGUUGGAUUAGCUAGUUGGUGGGGUAAAGGCCUACCAAGGCGACGAUCCAUAGCUGGUCUGAGAGGAUGAUCAGCCACACUGGGACUGAGACACGGCCCAGACUCCUACGGGAGGCAGCAGUGGGGAAUAUUGGACAAUGGGCGCAAGCCUGAUCCAGCCAUGCCGCGUGAGUGAUGAAGGCCCUAGGGUUGUAAAGCUCUUUCACCGGUGAAGAUAAUGACGGUAACCGGAGAAGAAGCCCCGGCUAACCUCGUGCCAGCAGCCGCCGUAACAC
rnacentral:rRNA from 1 species